ACGUUAUCUCUCUCCCCGUCAGUGCUAUGCAAAAUCCAACACUACCACAAGAUCCGUCAUAGUCCGACGACCAAACCCACUGAACAGCUCCGGCAGACACAUCCUCACGCGCCUCCAGAUCCUCUGACGCCGGCGGCGCGUCAGGCCCACGCGCCGGCGCGUGAACCACUUUCCGGCAGUUACGACCAAACCCACUGAACAGCUCCGGCAGACACAUCCUCACGCGCCUCCAGAUCCUCUGACGCCGGCGGCGCGUCAGGCCCACGCGCCGGCGCGUGAACCACUUUGCUGCAGUUUUUUGAAAAUUUUUUCUUGAGAUAGCCUGUUCGCCUUAGAAUUCCAAGCCUACCCAUAUUUUUUACUUUUCAAUUCCGAUCACUUUGAAUUUUUUUCCGGCAUCUAUUAUGAUUUUUUCCGGG
rnacentral:lncRNA from 1 species